AAUUUUGGACAAUGGGGGUAACCCUGAUCCAGCCAUCCCGCGUGUGCGAUGAAGGCCUUCGGGUUGUAAAGUACUUUUGUCAGGGAAGAAAAGGUUCUGGCUAAUACCCGGAACUGAUGACGGUACCUGAAGAAUAAGCACCGGCUAACUACGUGCCAGCAUCCGCGGUAAUACGUAUGGUGCAAGCGUUAAUCGGAAUUACUGGGCGGAAAGAGGGAGCAGGCGGUUCGGAAAAGAAGAUGUGAAAUCCCAGGGCGCAACCUUGGAACUGCAUUCUUAACUAACGAACUAGAGUAUGUCAGAGGGGGGUGGAAUUCCGCGGGUAGCAGUGAAAUGCGUAGAUAUGCGGAAGAAUACCGGUGGCGAAAGCAGGCCCCUGGGAUAAUACUGACGCUCAUGCACGAAAGCGUGGGUAGCAAACAGG
rnacentral:rRNA from 1 species